rnacentral:lncRNA from 1 species
CCGUGUUGUGUUAUGUCAUCUCAGCGCGUUUCAUAGCGAUUGGUGAACAACUCAUCAUAAGUGGCAAAAGGGCCAAUCAAUAAGUACGUUGUAAGACUGAUGAGAAAUGCUACAGUAACCCAUACUGGAAGAGACAGGGCGCUUCCGGAACAACAACAUAACAUUCAUAGCCUGUAAAAGACGCUUGUGUUUCAAGGCAAAUUUCUGGGUACGAAACAGAUACAGUAGAAACUGAACGAUCUGUACACCAUGGUAUGAAUUCUGAUAAAAGCCAGCGUCUAUGUGGUGCGCAAGAUCCGCGCUGCCCUUACAGAGGGAGAGCAAGCAGAACAACCUGUGCUCACACCAUGUAGUCUGGCUAAAGGUAAAAAGGAGCGCUAUGCAUCAGACGCAGCAUUAAUGCCCGCUCCAGAGCCUGAGGGUGCUGCUGGGUCAUCUGCAUCU